rnacentral:rRNA from 1 species
UACGAAGGGGGCUAGCGUUGCUCGGAAUCACUGGGCGUAAAGGGUGCGUAGGCGGGUCUUUAAGUUAGGGGUGAAAUCCUGGAGCUCAACUCCAGAACUGCCUUUGAUACUGAGGAUCUUGAGUUCGGGAGAGGUGAGUGGAACUGCGAGUGUAGAGGUGAAAUUCGUAGAUAUUCGCAAGAACACCAGUGGCGAAGGCGGCUCACUGGCCCGAUACUGACGCUGAGGAGCGAAAGCCAGGGGAGCAAACGGG